rnacentral:rRNA from 1 species
UACAGAGGUCCCGAGCGUUGUUCGGAUUCAUUGGGCGUAAAGGGUGCGUAGGUGGCGCUGUAAGUGGGGUGUGAAAUCCCGGGGCUCAACCCCGGGCCUGCAUUCGAUACGGGCAGACUAGAGUUCGGUAGGGGAGACUGGAAUUCCUGGUGUAGCGGUGAAAUGCGCAGAUAUCAGGAGGAACACCGGUGGCGAAGGCGGGUCUCUGGACAGUUCCUGACACUGAGGCACGAAGGCCAGGGGAGCAAACGGG